CAAAUCUAAAAUCUUACUAACACCAGCAAACAUGAAGAUCGCCGCCGGACUCAUCGCU
rnacentral:ribozyme from 1 species